GACGAACGCUGGCGGCGUGCUUAACACAUGCAAGUCGAACGGAAAGGCCUGCUUUCCCUUGUGGAUUGCGGGUACUCGAGUGGCGAACGGGUGAGUAACACGUGAGUGAUCUGCCCCCAACUUGGGUAUAAGCCUGGGAAACUGGGUCUAAUUCCCGAUCGGACUGCAGGGUGGUGCCUGUGGUGGAAAACGGUUCUCUAGUGGUUGGGGAUGAGCUCGCGGCCUAUCAGCUCGUUGGUGGGGUACUGGCCGACCAAGGCGUCGACGGGUAGCCGGCCUGAGAGGGUGGACAGCCGCAUUGGGACUGGGAUACGGCCCAGACUCGUACGGGAGGCAGGAGUUGGGAAUAUUGGACAAUGGGCGGGAGCCUGAUGCAGCGACGCCGCGUGGAGGAUGACGGCGUUCGGGUUGUAAACUCCUUUGGAACGAGAGGAAGCCACCUGGCUGGAAGGGUGGUGACGGUAGUGGUAGAAGAAGCACCGGCUAACUACGUG
rnacentral:rRNA from 1 species